AAAGGAUGACCAGGAUUAGUUUUCUCCAACAGGAAAUAACUUCCUUUGGGAAGUAUAAAAUAGGCUGCAUGGUGAUAAGGAAGCUUACAGACAGAUUUGGUUGCCGGAGGAGAGGACAAAGACCUGUGAUUUCUCCUUGGACUCCAGAUUAUGUUCAACUUAGGACUGUGGUCUUGCAGCUAACUCAUCAAGUCCAUCACGUGAGAUGUAGAAUACAGAAUCAGAUUCAUGGGUCUUACACUGGAAGCACUCAAUAACAACUGGACCCUCCCCUGGUAUUCAAACACUGAAACGUGGAGAGAGUGCUGGAACUGUGUUAUGGUGACAUGUGACAUGU